rnacentral:piRNA from 1 species
UCAGAGUUCGCGCCUGAAGGUCCAGA